rnacentral:rRNA from 1 species
UACCAGCACCCCGAGUGGUCGGGACGUUUAUUGGGCCUAAAGCGUGCGUAGACGGUUAUGUAAGUCAGGUGUGAAAGCCCCGGGCUCAACCUGGGAAUUGCAUUUGAGACUGCAUAGCUAGGGUGCGGAAGAGGGAAGCGGAAUUUCCGGUGUAGCGGUGAAAUGCGUAGAUAUCGGAAGGAACACCAGUGGCGAAAGCGGCUUCCUGGACCAGUACCGACGUUCAGGCACGAAAGCGUGGGGAGCAAACAGG